rnacentral:rRNA from 1 species
AUUGAACGCUGGCGGCAGGCCUAACACAUGCAAGUCGAGCGAGCGGCGGACGGGUGAGUAAUGUAUGGGGACUGCCUGAUCGAGGGGGCUAAGUGCUGGAAACGGUGGCUAAUACCGCAUACUAUCGGAUAACCCAUAUGGGAUUAGCUAGUAGGUGGGGUAUAGGCUCACCUAGGCGACGAUCGCUAGCUGGUCUGAGAGGAUGAUCAGCCACACUGGGACUGAGACACGGCCCAGACUCCGACGGAGGCAGCAGUGGGGAAUAUUGCACAAUGGGCGCAAGCCUGAUGGAGCAAUGCCGCGUGUAUGAAGAAGGCCUUAGGGUUGUAAAGUACUUUCAGCGGGGAAGCGUUACCCACAGAAGAAGCACCGGCUAACUCCGUGCCAGCAGCCGCGGUAAUUC